rnacentral:misc_RNA from 1 species
UUCAUCAUAAAUCAGAUUCAGACACAAAACUUUGUCCUGCAUAAAAACGGCCCCAUGCGAGGCCGAAGCACAUUUCACUUCCACGGAUUUGAGGUUUGAAGGUCAAAAGAGACCAUUCGUUAAUGAUCCCUCCGCAGGUUCACCUACGGAGA